rnacentral:rRNA from 1 species
UACGUAGGGUGCAAGCGUUAAUCGGAAUUACUGGGCGUAAAGCGUGCGCAGGCGGUUGUGCAAGACCGAUGUGAAAUCCCCGGGCUUAACCUGGGAAUGGCAUUGGUGACUGCACGGCUAGAGUGUGUCAGAGGGGGGUAGAAUUCCACGUGUAGUAGUGAAAUGCGUAGAGAUGUGGAGGAAUACCGAUGGCGAAGGCAGCCCCCUGGGAUAACACUGACGC